AACGAACGCUGGCGGCAUGCCUAACACAUGCAAGUCGAACGAGACCUUCGGGUCUAGUGGCGCUCGGGUGCGUAACGCGUGGGAACCUGCCCUUAGGUUCGGAAUAACUACCCGAAAGGGGUGCUAAUACCGGAUAAUGUCUUCGGACCAAAGAUUUAUCGCCUUUGGAUGUGCCCGCGUUGGAUUAGCUAGUUGGUAGGGUAAAAGCCUACCAAGGCGACGAUCCAUAGCUGGUCUGAGAGGAUGAUCAGCCACACUGAGACUGAGACACGGCCGAGACUCCUACGGGAGGCAGCAGUGGGGAAUAUUGGACAAUGGGCGGAAGCCUGAUCCAGCAAUGCCGGGAGAGUGAUGAAGGCCUUAGGGUUGUAAAGCGCUUUUAACCGGGAUGAUAAUGACGGUACCGGGAGAAUAAGCCCCGGCUAACUCCGUG
rnacentral:rRNA from 1 species